UACGGGGGGGGCAAGCGUUGUUCGGAAUUACUGGGCGUAAAGGGCUCGUAGGCGGCCAACUAAGUCAGACGUGAAAUCCCCAGGCUCAACCUGGGAACUGCGUCUGAUACUGGAUGGCUUGAAUCCGGGAGAGGGGAGCAGAAUUCCAGGUGUAGCGGUGAAAUGCGUAGAUAUCUGGAGGAAUACCGGUGGCGAAGGCGGCAUCCUGGGCCGGCAUUGACGCUGAGGAGCGAAAGCCUGGGGAGCAAACGGG
rnacentral:rRNA from 1 species